rnacentral:rRNA from 1 species
GAUGAACGCUGGCGGUAUGCUUAACACAUGCAAGUCGAACGGACUCUUCGGAGUUAGUGGCGGACGGGUGAGUAACGCGUGAGAAUCUGGCUUUGGGUUCGGGACAACCACUGGAAACGGUGGCUAAUACCGGAUGUGCCGAGAGGUAAAAGAGAAAUUGCCUGAAGAUGAGCUCGCGUCUGAUUAGCUAGUUGGUGAGGUAAAGGCUCACCAAGGCAGCGAUCAGUAGCUGGUCUGAGAGGAUGACCAGCCACACUGGGACUGAGACACGGCCCAGACUCCUGCGGGAGGCAGCAGUGGGGAAUUUUCCGCAAUGGGCGAAAGCCUGACGGAGCAGUACCGCGUGAGGGAAGAAGGCUCUUGGGUUGUAAACCUCUUUUCUUAGGGAAGAACAAAAUGACGGUACCUAGGGAAUCAGCAUCGGCUAACUCCGU